ACAGCCCGGCCCCCGCCCCCUCAGGGCGGCGGCGGCGGCCAGGACAGGAGCGAGGUGGCAGGCGGGGACAGCUGUCUGGGGUGGUGGCCGAAUGGGAGAGGGUGAGGUCGGCGGGGCGCUGUCGGCUGCUGUCCCCUCGGCUUUACUAAGCCCGGGCGCCAGCCUCGGCCGCCCGCAGGACGGAGAGCGGCCGCCCGGCCCGGCGAGCCAAGGUUUUGUAACAAUCAAGCAGCACAUGAAAGAGGGCUCUUCAUCAAGCAUUCUUGAUUAAGUCAUGAAAAUGGAAUUGAAGCUUAUUUUCCCCCUUCGUAUGGGGUGUGAUCUUGCACAUGUGACUUAACCUUGCCGUACUUCUGCUUUCCUGCCCCUGUAUAAUGGGAAUGAUAGUGAUACUUCACAGGAUUGCUGUGAGCGUUAAAUAAAAUGAAG